UAGAGUUUGAUCCUGGCUCAGAUUGAACGCUGGCGGUAUGCCUUACACAUGCAAGUCGAACGGCAGCAUGGAGAGCUUGCUCUCUGAUGGCGAGUGGCGAACGGGUGAGUAAUACAUCGGAACGUGUCCGUUUGUGGGGGACAACCGUCCGAAAGGAUGGCUAAUACCGCAUAAGACCUGAGGGUGAAAGCCGGGGACCGCAAGGCCCGGCGCAGACGGAGCGGCCGAUGAUUGAUUAGCUAGUUGGGGAGGUAAAGGCUCACCAAGGCGACGAUCUAUAGCUGGUCUGAGAGGACGACCAGCCACACUGGAACUGAGACACGGUCCAGACUCCUACGGGAGGCAGCAGUGGGGAAUUUUGGACAAUGGGGGCAACCCUGAUCCAGCCAUGCCGCGUGCGGGAAGAGGGCCUUCGGGUUGUAAACCGCUUUUGUCAGGGACGAAAAGCUCCGGAGUAAUAUGCCGGAGUGCUGACGGUACCUGAAGAAUAAGCACCGGCUAACUACGUGCCAGCAGCCGCGGUAAUACGUAGGGUGCAAGCGUUAAUCGGAAUUACUGGGCGUAAAGCGUGCGCAGGCGGUUGGGUAAGACAGAUGUGAAAUCCCCGGGCUUAACCUGGGAACUGCAUUUGUGACUGUCCGACUGGAGUACGUCAGAGGGGGGUGGAAUUCCACGUGUAGCAGUGAAAUGCGUAGAUAUGUGGAAGAACACCGAUGGCGAAGGCAGCCCCCUGGGACGCAACUGACGCUCAUGCACGAAAGCGUGGGGAGCAAACAGGAUUAGAUACCCUGGUAGUCCACGCCCUAA
rnacentral:rRNA from 1 species